AGCGACAGGCCUAACACAUGCAAGUCGAGGGGCAGCACAAGGAGCAAUCUGAGGUGGCGACCGGCGCACGGGUGAGUAACACGUAUGCAACCUGCCUGUAAGCGGGGAAUAACCCGUUGAAAGACGGACUAAUACCGCAUAAUACUAAAUUACUGCAUGGUAAUUUAUUUAAACAUUUAUGGCUUACAGAUGGGCAUGCGCAUGAUUAGCUAGUUGGAGAGGUAACGGCUCCCCAAGGCAACGAUCAUUAGGGGUUCUGAGAGGAAGGUCCCCCACACUGGUACUGAGACACGGACCAGACUCCUACGGGAGGCAGCAGUGAGGAAUAUUGGUCAAUGGACGAGAGUCUGAACCAGCCAAGUCGCGUGCAGGAAGAAUGUUCCCUAUGGAUUGUAAACUGUCUUUUGCGAGGGGAAAUAAAGUGCAUCACGUGUGAUGUUUUGUAUGUACUCUGCGAAUAAGGAUCGGCUAACUCCGUGCCAGCCGCCGC
rnacentral:rRNA from 1 species